GGUAAUAUGGCCGAGAUAGGCAUUAGACUGUAAAUCUAAGGACAGGGGUUAGAUUCCUCUUAUUGCC
rnacentral:tRNA from 1 species